rnacentral:rRNA from 1 species
UACGUAGGGGGCUAGCGUUGUCCGGAAUCAUUGGGCGUAAAGCGCGUGUAGGCGGUCCGGUAAGUCCGCUGUGAAAGUCGGGGGCUCAACCCUCGGAUGCCGGUGGAUACUGUCGGGCUAGAGUGCGGGAGAGGCGAGUGGAAUUCCUGGUGUAGCGGUGAAAUGCGCAGAUAUCAGGAGGAACACCGGUGGCGAAGGCGGUGAUCUGGGCCGACACUGACGCUGUAGAGCGAAAGCGUGGGGAGCGAACAGG